GUAGGGGGCAAGCGUUGUCCGGAAUCAUUGGGCGUAAAGCGCGUGUAGGCGGCUCGAUAAGUCUGCUGUGAAGGUCCAGGGCUCAACCCUGGGAUGCCGGUGGAUACUGUCGAGCUCGAGUCCGGAAGAGGAGUGUGGAAUUCCUGGUGUAGCGGUGAAAUGCGCAGAUAUCAGGAGGAACACCGAUAGCGAAGGCAGCACUCUGGUACGUGACUGACGCUGAGACGCGAAAGCGUGGGGAGCAAACAGGAUUAGAUACCCUGGUAGUCCACGCCGUAAACGAUGGGCACUAGGUGUGGGAGGUGUCGACUCCUCCCGUGCCGAAGCUAACGCAUUAAGUGCCCCGCCUGGGGAGUACGGUCGCAAGACUA
rnacentral:rRNA from 1 species